rnacentral:rRNA from 1 species
AAAUAACAAUACAGGACUUUACGGUUUUGUAAUUGGAAUGAGUUAAGUAUAAACCCCUUUACAAGUAUCAAUUGGAGGGCAAGUCUGGUGCCAGCAGCCGCGGUAAUUCCAGCUCCAAUAGCGUAUAUUAAAGUUGUUGCAGUUAAAAAGCUCGUAGUUGGAUUUCUGUUAAUACCUUAUAUAUAAUAUUUUUUUUUAAAUAUUAUUAUGUAAGAUUAACAUAAUUCAUAUUUUUUAAGACUGAAUUUUUAGUUUUGAUAAUAUGAAAUUUUACUUUGAGAAAAUUAGAGUGCUUAAAGCAGGCUUUUGCCUUGAAUACUCCAGCAUGGAAUAAUAAUAAAAGAUUUUUAUCUUUUUUUUAUUGGUUCUAAGAUAAAAAUAAUGAUUAAUAGGGACAGUUGGGGGCAUUUGUAUUUAACAGUCAGAGGUGAUAUUCUUAGAUUUGUUAAAGACAAACUAAUGCGAAAGCA